rnacentral:rRNA from 1 species
AGUGAACGCUGGCGGUAGGCCUAACACAUGCAAGUCGAACGGCAGCACAGUAAGAGCUUGCUCUUACGGGUGGCGAGUGGCGGACGGGUGAGGAAUACAUCGGAAUCUACUUUUUCGUGGGGGAUAACGUAGGGAAACUUACGCUAAUACCGCAUACGACCUACGGGUGAAAGCAGGGGAUCUUCGGACCUUGCGCGAUUGAACGAGCCGAUGUCGGAUUAGCUAGUUGGCAGGGUAAAGGCCCACCAAGGCGACGAUCCGUAGCUGGUCUGAGAGGAUGAUCAGCCACACUGGAACUGAGACACGGUCCAGACUCCUACGGGAGGCAGCAGUGGGGAAUAUUGGACAAUGGGCGCAAGCCUGAUCCAGCCAUACCGCGUGGGUGAAGAAGGCCUUCGGGUUGUAAAGCCCUUUUGUUGGGAAAGAAAAGCAGCAGGUUAAUACCCCGCUGUUCUGACGGUACCCAAAGAAUAAGCACCGGCUAACUUCGUG